rnacentral:piRNA from 1 species
UGAUCACAUCUCAUUUAGAGGAGAAUCUGGU